ACAAACAGGAAAAACAAUUUUGUUAAUAAAAACCACAGUACAAUUAUUUUCAAACCUUAUAUAUUUUAAGUACGUCAAACAAAUGACGCUAAAUUAAUUUGAUUCAAUUUCCAUUAAUUCUUGAUAUAAAGUUAAGAAAAUUCCUAGACGACAACCUUGACUAGGGCAAGAAUAUAUUUCCUAGUUUACUAGUUGGGAUGAUUGAUAAAUCAGCUGUUCGGAAAAGUUCCACAAAUAAAUAAUCUUAUAGCCUCAACAAAAGAAAUAUUUGUUUAUAGAGAUUUGUUUCAAGAUAUCUCUAGUUAUAGUGAUAUUGAAACAUAUUCAAAUCAUAAGUCUUGGAAAAAAAUUUGUGACUCAAGUAUUUCACAUUUAAAUUGAAUGUUUAAUCGAUAAUAAUUGAAUCAAACGUAGUAAGCUUCACGAGGUCCUACGUAAGGAGAGAAGAAGGUCUCUUUAUUAAUGUUAAUUAUUUAUCUAUUAAAAAAUAAUGGAUAAAUCUACAGCUUCAGAUAUUGUUAUUGUAUCUGGAAAUUCACAUCCAGAACUUGCAGAUUUAAUAGCUAAUCGCCUUGGCGUCAAACAUGGAGGUUGUUUUGCGUAUCAUAAAACCAACCGUGAAACAAUGGUGGAAAUUGCUGACUCCGUUCGUGGGAAAGAUAUUUAUAUCAUUCAAACAGGAACUAAAGAUGUUAAUAAUAACAUAAUGGAGCUUUUAAUUAUGGCAUAUGCGUGUAAGACAUCUUCAGCCAAAAAUAUUAUUGGUGUUAUUCCUUAUUUACCUUACUCCAAACAAUGUAAAAUGCGUAAACGCGGUUGUAUUGUAUCAAAACUUUUGGCCAAAAUGAUGUGUACAAGUGGAUUAACUCAUAUUAUCACUAUGGAUCUUCAUCAAAAAGAAAUUCAAGGUUUCUUCGAUUGUCCUGUUGAUAACUUGCGAGCAAGUCCUUUUCUUUUACAGUAUAUUCAAGAGAGUGUUCCAGAUUAUCGAAAUUCAGUAAUUGUUGCGAAAAAUCCUGGAAGUGCUAAAAAAGCCACUAGCUAUGCAGAACGACUGAGAGUAGGAAUAGCUGUGAUCCAUGGAGAACAAAGGGAGAAUGAAUCUGAUAUGAAUGAUGGACGUAAUUCACCUCCAGCCAUGUUGUUAUCUUCAAGAACUAUGGAAGUCGGAGUUGGUGUACCAUCUCAUCCAGCUAAAGAAAAACCACCAAUUAAUGUUGUUGGUGAUGUCAGUGGUCGUAUUGCUAUUAUGGUGGAUGAUAUGGUUGAUGAUGUCCAAUCUUUUGUGGCUGCAGCUGAGGUUUUAAAAGAACAAGGAGCCAAUAAAAUUUAUGUACUGGCUACACAUGGACUUCUUAGUUCUGAUGCUCCAAGACUUAUUGAAGAAUCACCAAUUGAUGAGGUCGUUGUUACUAACACUAUUCCACACGAAUUACAAAAAAGUCAAUGCUCGAAGAUAAAAACAGUGGACAUAAGUAUAUUAUUAGCAGAAGCAAUUCGUCGUAUUCACAACAAAGAAUCAAUGUCUUAUCUUUUUAAAAAUGUUACCACUGAAGAUUAAUUAUUUUACAUAAUUAUUCACUUCUGAAGAUAUAGAAAUGAGAUAAAGCAAAAAAAAAAUCAUUAAGUAAAGGAAUAUAAUGAAGGCAUUUAUUUAAAAAACAAAUAAAGUUCCGUCGUGGGGACCAUAUCAAGAUUAUGUACACUUUGAAAUCUUUCUAUAAUAUUUUUAUAUAUUUUUUCUGAAAAACAUAAUUUACAAAAAAUACAACAAAAAUGAAAAAAUAAUGAGCACGAAACAUAAAAGUUUAUGUUAAAAUUUAAUUA
rnacentral:misc_RNA from 1 species